GGGUCGGUGCCCGAGCGGUUAAUGGGGACGGACUGUAAAUUCGUUGACGAUAUGUCUACGCUGGUUCAAAUCCAGCUCGGCCCA
rnacentral:tRNA from 2 species